UACCUCAAAAAACCACAACAGUCUGUUUCAUCCGUAUAGGAAUCAUCAGCUGAUGAUUCCUAUACGGAUGAAACAGACUGUUGUGGUUUUU